GGCGUUGGCAGCGGGCUGGGACCCACGCGGCGCCGCGGCCCGCCUGGCCUGCAGCGCUCCCACCCCCGGCGGCGGCACGAUGCCCUUUGACUUCAGGAGGUUUGACAUCUACAGGAAGGUGCCCAAGGACCUUACGCAGCCAACGUACACCGGGGCCAUUAUCUCCAUCUGCUGCUGCCUCUUCAUCCUCUUCCUCUUCCUCUCAGAGCUCACCGGAUUUAUAACGACAGAAGUUGUGAACGAGCUCUAUGUCGAUGACCCAGACAAGGACAGCGGUGGCAAGAUCGACGUCAGUCUGAACAUCAGUUUGCCCCAUCUGCACUGCGAGUUGGUCGGGCUCGACAUUCAGGAUGAGAUGGGCAGGCACGAAGUGGGCCACAUCGACAACUCCAUGAAGAUCCCGCUGAACAAUGGGGCAGGCUGCCGCUUCGAGGGGCAGUUCAGCAUCAACAAGAACCAGGAGCUUCAGAUCCUAAGUCAAGUGGGUGAACGCAGUGCCCUUGGGAGGGCCGAGGCACCCGGUGGCAGCUGGCAGGGUUUUGCUCAGCACGUGCCGGCCUUCCUCGAAGCUCAGUACUGUCACAGUGGAGCCUCUCAACAACACUGUGAGGCAGCACCAUUUGACAGGUCCCCGGCAACUUCCACGU
rnacentral:sRNA from 1 species